ensembl:lncRNA
CUUUCCCUGGAGCAGCGAGGAGCCCACCCAGAGAAAUCUAAGUCCAGUGCCAAGCACGUGAGUGGUGAGGAAGAGGACAGCUGUGGCUUCAGUCAUCACAGUCAGAUGGCUUUGUCCUCUGAGCUUCUUUCCAUCCCCAGCACCUCCACGUGGCAACAUGGAUUCACUGAGAAAUUUCCCCACCAGCGAACCACAGACAGAACGGCACACUGCUCCUUGCUUCAAUCAAGCCGUGCCCUCGCCACUUGAAAGGAAGAUGAACUACCUGCUAACCAUGCACUUUUGGAAUCCAAUUCGAAGCCACCAGGUGCCCUGAGAUUCCGCCGGGAGAAAACAAGGCUGUUUCAUUCCAAUUAAACACCG